UAUGGCUCAGUGGCACAGUGCCUGCCUGGCAAGCACAAGGUUAUGAGUUCAAUUCUCAUUA
rnacentral:tRNA from 1 species